UUAUUAAGAGCUUUAAGCAGUUUAAUUUCGACUUAAAUUAAGAAGAUUUUAUA
rnacentral:tRNA from 1 species